UAGUUUGUUUACUUAAUUUCAGGUGCAUUCCUGUAAUAAAAAAACGAAGCAUUGCUGACAUGACAAAGGUGACACAUUUACAGGUGCUGACGUCAGAGACACAAAUCGUAUGGUCAAUCACAACGCACAGACAAAGUACAAACACAAAAUCAUAAAGGUACGAAUUAAAAGUAACCUGAAAUUAAAAGAACACCAAAUAGAAAAGAAUUGGGAAAAAAACACAUGCAGAAAGUUAAAAGUACUUAUAGAUAAAAAGUACAACCUGUAAAUGAAAGAAUAAAAAGGGUUAACA